UCUGUAUCUUUGUCUGUAGAUGGGGUGUAUUAUGGUACAGCAAUGUCUGUAUGUCUGUCUGUAGACGGGGCAUACCAUGGUACAUCAAUGUCUGUAAGCCCGUUUGUAGGUGGGACGUAAUAUGGUACAGCAAUGUAUGUAUGUCUGUCUUAAGAUGGGAUGCAUUGUCCACCAUAUGAAUACUUUGUUACGAUGUAUGAAAUGCCCUCUAAUUUUAGGAAUUUUAGAGUUUUUAGGGCGCUGAAAUAAGGUUUCAUUCCCAUGCUGAAAAACCAGGUAUUUUCCCAUUUUGUACUUUGAAAUUCCCAAACAAUGAAAACAAAUCAAAGCAGGGUAGCCUAAUUGUUCAUAAAUCUUCACUGGCCCAUAGAUUACAAUUUUUGCCUCAAACUUGUUAUGUAAACCUAAUAUUUUGGCCUCUGCUUAUUUAAAUGAGGUAAGCUUUGACCAAAUUGAAAGUCAGAAAGAGUCCAGUUCUACCUUAAUUCACUCUGGAUUGGUUUUAUCUCCCUACUUCUUUGUAUGAAACAUUUCUCCCAAGUUCAAACAAAUGCCAUUAUUUUUCCCAAUUGGAAAGGCCCAGACCCUUCCAAUGAAGACCUUAAAAAACCAGAAUUUAAAAUUUAAAAUCCAUUGCCCCUUUGACAAGGUCAGGCUCCAAAACAGGGUCAAUAUAGGAAACUUAUCAUUGCCUUUGUAUCCUUAUUAUUACAUAUAACCAAUGCUCAGGUGAACGAUAAAGCCAGUGAGUCUCCUGUUUAGAAGAUAACAAGCUGGCUUCUUUUGACAAAAUUCAUGAGGAUUUUAAUUUGUUGAAAAUUUCAUUUACUUGUCUGAUUUCUGGUCAUUCCACCACUCAUUGUCACUUUGGUUUUUCAGCUCCCUGGGCCUCAUGAGAUGGUGACACCCUGCAGUAGCAGUUCCUACCGAUAUCUCUUAAAAGCAGACAGAGGUUCUCAUAGCAUCUGAUCCAUUUCUGGAGACAAACUUUUGUAUGGAGCUGGGUAGCAGUUACUUGAGAUGUCCGGCUGAUUGAUGAGGAUAAUUUCCCUGAGACUCUAACAUUCUGUAGGACUUGGAUAGCUCUAUUACUGUAGAAAAUGUCAGGACGGUGGAGAUUUAGAUAAGUGGUGUGAUGUUAUUGAUGGUAAACAGAAGACUGUGACCUUGAAUCUGAAGAUCUGUGA